UAGAAGUUCUGUGUGUUGGGGGUUAUAUAAACAAUAACUUCUGUCAUUCAUACAGCAGCAGCAGACAACGUUUCUUCUUGACUGAUACAACCAUCACAUUAUGAUGACCAAAUUAAUUUUUCUAGCUGGCUUUUCCCUGGCGUUGUGUCAAUUUGGAUGGGCCUCCGAACUGGUUUGCUACUUCACAAACUGGUCUCAGUACAGACCUGGUGUUGGCAAGUACAUGCCAGAAAAUGUGGAUCCACAUCUGUGCACUCAUUUAAUUUAUGCUUUUUCCAUCAUCAAUCCGGCAAAUGAGUUGACCACUUUUGAAUGGAAUGAUGAAACUCUCUACAAAUCUUUCAAUGGACUAAAGGAAAAAAAUCCCGGCUUGAAGACUCUCUUGGCUGUCGGAGGAUGGAGCUUUGGCUCAGAACAGUUUAGUAUCAUGGUGUCCACAUCAGCAAACAGGCAGACGUUUAUUCAGUCCUCCAUCACAUUUCUGAGGAAACAUGGCUUUGAUGGUCUGGAUCUGAACUGGGAGUAUCCGGGUUCCCGUGGAAGUCCUCCAGAAGACAAGCAGAGGUUCACUCUGCUCUGUAAGGAGCUCUUGGAAGCUUACGAGGCAGAGAGUGCUGCCACUGGACGUCCCAGACUCAUGCUCACUGCUGCAGUGGCUGCUGGGAAAGGAACCAUUGAUGCUGGUUAUGAAAUUGCAGAAAUUGCCAAGUAUUUGGACUUCAUUAAUGUGAUGACCUAUGACUUCUAUGGUUCAUGGGAAAAUGUCACCGGGCACAACAGUCCUCUGUUAGCUGGCUCUGGAUACCCAGGAGGGAAAAUCUAUAAUACUGAUUUUGCAAUGAGAUACUGGAGAGAUCAGGGCGCUCCUGUGGAGAAGCUGAGGAUGGGCUUUGCUACAUAUGGAAGAACAUUUCGUCUGUCUUCACUUUCUGGACCCAGUGGAGCUGGAGCUCCAGCUAAUGGUUCUGGAUCAGCUGGAAAAUACACCAGAGAGGCCGGAUUCUGGUCCUAUUAUGAGGUCUGUACUUUCCUUCAAGGAACCUCUGUGGAAUGGAUUGAUGAUCAGAAAGUUCCUUAUGCAACAAAAGGACAUGAAUGGGUGGGAUUUGACAACAAGGAAAGCUUUGAGACUAAGGUGAACUACCUAAAGGAGGAAAAGUUUGGAGGAGCUUUCGUCUGGGCUCUGGAUCUUGAUGACUUUACAGGACAGUUCUGUGAUCAGGGCAAAUACCCUCUCAUUGGACAUCUCAGGACACUUCUUAAUAGAGAUUUCCCACCAGUUUCACCAAAUCCAACACAUGAGCCUGGUAAGACCACAACAACAGCAUCCAGCACUGGAUCCCAUGCCACAAGACCUCAUGUUGUCCCGACAGUCCCCUCAGAGUUCUGUGUUGCCAAAACGGAUGGGCUAUACAUAAACCCAUACGACCCUGCGACCUUCAUUCAGUGUUCUAAUGCCAUUCCCUAUAAAAUGCAUUGCCCUGAUGGGACUGUCUUCAAUCCUGACUGCUUGUGCUGCGACUGGCCUAAGAAUUAACCUCAUGUUGUCACUGUUCCACUCCUGCAAGGGAAAUGUUUAGAACUUUGGCAGGGUUUUGCAAAACUAUUUGGUAUCAGUAAUGGCAUAAUAAUUUCACACUUUACCUUUACGUUUUCUGUUUUCUGUUAAGGUUUUUUUUUUUUUAAAGACAUAUAUGAUAUAAUACUACUUUAAUAAAAUAAUAUGCUACAUUUUGAUGUUUCUUUAAAAAGGAAGCACGGUCUUACUUGUCUGAUUAAAACUAACCUGAUAAGUGCUAAUUUUUACAU